CCUCUUUCACGAUUCUUCGCUGUUUCUUUAUAUCUCCUUUUCCCUUUCUCACUCGUUCUUCUAAACAAUUAUUAAAGAUAAGAGAACGUAGCCUUCGGCCAAAAGCCUACUCUUCAUCGAUGAAUAUUCUCACUCCGCUCUCACAAUCGUAUCGAGAAUUGAUUUUUAGGUUAGAUCGCGAUUAAGCGCGAGAAACCUAUCUUUUAGGUUAGAUCCGGCGCGUGGAAAAGAGCGCGGGCUUUGCAAGUGGCUUUUUUGCUCGACAAUCGAAGUCUUUCGUUAGAUAAGCGUAAGUGCAAUGGCAAGAACUUGCUAUUUCCUGCUUCUCUUCGAGAUCAAAAGCAGCUUUGACGACGAUGCGUUUCGAUUCGCACUUCGUGGAAUUGUAUCGCGUGUUUCCGAUAUUUUCCUUGAUCGCGUCACCACACCGUAAAACGCUAUAUAUUCUCGGAUCAAAUUUUGUUUCUUAACCUUAUUCCGUUCGAUGUUGCGGAAACAAGCGUCACAUUCGAAGACUUAGAUGCUCCACGAAUAUUCACCGCGAAAACGAUAAAACUCUCUCGCCACGGGUCGUCGUUCUUUUCGAGUUGCGAGAAAUAAACGAUUGCAACGAUAUGCGAGAGCACGAGCAAUUCAUCACCUCGUCUCCGACACAAAGAACCGCACACACGCUUUAUCGCUCGACGAGUCUCGUAUAUGCGAUUAAGGACAAUCCACGAUGCGGUUCUUAUUUCUGAACGAAACGAAACGAAACGAAAAUAACAAUGACACGCACGUUCUCGCGUUUAUCGUGCUCAAGAUGUUCUACACGCGUUCCGAUUUGAACGAAACCGAUGAUACUGAUGAAAUUCGAGAUUGCUAAUUCGAUUUUGAUCGAUCUCCGCUUCGUAAUCGAUCUUCGUUCCGCUUGAAAAUGGUGUCGCUAUCUUCAGGCCGAAUGGUCUCUCGAGAAAUCGAAUCACUCUCGAAGUGCAACUUCUGAACGUUCGCGAAUGAACAUGGCGUUGCUUUGUCGCUGGUGGAUCUUGCGAUUGUGAAUUUAAUUAAACGAAACACUUUGUGUCUUUUAAACCGGAAAGUUUCGAUUGAAUCACUUUCGAACGAGAACACUUUUUAUUUAAAACAAUAUCGCACUAAAUAUAUCGAUACGUUUACGACGCAUCAAAUACCACGUAAAUCAUCGACAGCAAAUAUUUUAACAAUGUUUAAACGUUUAACCUUUUUAUCGUAUAUAAAAUAUAUGUAUAUAAUGGCGUAAAACAUCAAUACACAGUGGACACAAUUUGACGCGAUACGAAAUAUUAUAACCUAAUUCACGAAAACGUCUCAAAAUUUUUCGUCAAGAUUACGCUCGGAAUAAUGCACUUAAAAAUUCCCACUGAAAAUUUCGAUUACGUUUAUCGGAAGAAACAACAGAUACGGUGUCGAAUAGAAUUGGUGUAAUAAAUAAUGGCAAAAAACACGUGAACGAGAAGAAAACAGAAACGACGAGGCAAACUCGAUGCUUGCGUCGUUUCGUAUGAACGUACCGAUCGUCGGACGAUUGGUGUAGAGUGUGCUAGUGAGAAGAGGGGAGCUAUGAGAGUCCUCUGGGAAUCCAAUGGCAAAAGUCAACAAGAGAUCUCGAGGCGGACGCGAAAAAAAGUUUAAGACGUUGAUAGAUAUCGCGAUGUUCCGCACCCGCACUACCGAUACGAGUGUAAAUAUUGCGUGAAUAUCGAACGAGCGUUCUCUGUGUGACGUCACGUGCCGCUGUAAAACAGUCCAAGGAAACUCUCGAGUAUUGCUCGCUUCGUAAUUAUCUAUUCUAUUCGUUCGAAUUAACAACUUCAAUUUUCAAAUCACUAAUUCGAUCAAGAUUAUGCGUCGCUACGCCUCUUCUCAGUUUCAAGGAACAAAGUUCAAAGGAUUGUUUGCUUAAAUAUAACAAUCGAGUGUAGUGCGCGAGCGCGGUUACCCAGAAUGAGCCCCCGAAGGAUGCACUGACCCGGACAAUUUCGGAGCUAGCCUCCCCUACCAACAUGAAACACGACUACUGUUGAUCGAAAUCGGCCUACCUGUGGAUCGCGAUUCGUGGCUCCGGCGAUGUGGUUUGCCCCCGGCAUCCGAGGGCUGUCGGAACCUUGAGAAGGUCGCAGGAAGACAGAUGAUGCCCAUAUUCGCGACAAUUCCAGGUGUAACUGGCACGAUCAUCCUCCUUUACGGAUUGCUGCCUCCUGCCAUUGGUAUUGUCACCUGCACCACCCUCGGAGAGAUGGCGAAUCAGGGGACGACGCAUCGCAUAAGGUUAUGUUUCACCGGCACAUUCGAAACACCGCCGCGCAAAUUUAACCGAUACCUCCGAUAAUUCUUUCUAUUCGAACGAAUCGGCAAAUAUCGCCUGUACACGAUAACAACCUCGAUAUAAUUCGACCGACGAAUCUUGGAGAAAAAGAAAUCCGUGACAAGUUCUGUCAAACUUUUGCGAUCGUUUCGCUCGAUCGUUACACGUCUAUCACGCUCAUAUUCCAGAACGACGUAAUCAUGGCACGAGUUCUCGCGAGACUAUGUACGUGCUUCUUGCGCGAGUGUUUACGACCAUCCACCCCCCACCCUCCUUCCCUACCACUAUUUGUCUUACCUGCCACCCACAGUCCCGAACCGUACCGAACAUUCAAUGUGAUUGGCCGGUAAGGUGGAUAGCUUCGGGGGUUGUUUAUCGGAGUUCCCUUUUAUCGACUUCUUUUCCUAGAUGUCGUUAUUGUCUUUCGUCUUGAAUUUUCCAACCAAUUUUUACUGGCAAUAUUUAAUCACAGACGAGAUAUAGAAUAGAUUUAACAUUUAAUGGAACUUUGUGUUCCGAAAUAUUAUAUUAUAUAAUCGCGCAAAAGAUCGGAAUGCUCUUUAUGAUUUAGAGCAUAAGAUUUAAUGUAAGAAUUGUAUUUAAUUUAAUCACAAAAAUUUAUAAAAAAAAGUCAACAGAUUUUAAAAAUA